UUUUGGUACCACUCGUAGAGCAUCACAUAAAUAUUCAGACCGUGAUAACUCAGUGCAGGAAUGUUAUCAAAUAUGUCCAUGCAAUCUGGAACUAGGACCAGAGUUGGCAAUUGGGGGUCUGAAGGCCCAACAUCCCUUACACUGCUUCCUACACCUUGACAACAGGAAGGCUGAGUGAUACUAGGUAGUGCACUACAACAGUGAACAUAAGCCAGCCAUCUGUUUUUUGCAAAGUAUAAUAAAAUAGAAAAACAGAACAUAGACCACUUCAGAGCAAACAAACAUAUCCUUCUUCAAGAUGUAGGAAAACCAUAUAUUCAAAACCAAUCUCAAACUUUAAACAAUAAAAGAUAUCAAACAUUUUAAACUGUACAAAGCAAAUUAGCAAGAUUUUAAUGUUGGCAGUUUUAAAAUGUCA
rnacentral:lncRNA from 10 species